UGGGGAAUUUUGCACAAUGGGGGAAACCCUGAUGCAGCGACGCCGCGUGAUUUAGAAGGCCUUCGGGUUGUAAAAAUCUUUUCUAUGGGAAGAAAAUGACAGUACCAUAGGAAUAAGGAUCGGCUAAUUACGUGCCAGCAGCCGCGGUAAUACGUAAGGUCCGAGCGUUGUCCGGAAUCAUGGGGCGUAAAGGGUACGUAGGCGGGUAAGCAAGUUAGAAGUGAAAUCCUAUAGCUCAACUAUAGUAAGCUUUUAAAACUGCUCAUCUUGAGGUAUGGAAGGGAAAGUGGAAUUCCUAGUGUAGCGGUGAAAUGCGCAGAUAUUAGGAGGAAUACCGGUGGCGAAGGCGACUUUCUGGCCAUAACCUGACGCUGAGGUACGAAAGCGUGGGUAGCAAACAGG
rnacentral:rRNA from 1 species